AUACGUAGGGAGCAAGCGUUGUCCGGAUUUACUGGGUGUAAAGGGUGCGUAGGCGGAUUGGCAAGUCAGUAGUGAAAUCUGGGGGCUUAACCCCCAAACUGCUAUUGAAACUGUUGAUCUUGAGUGAAGUAGAGGUAGGCGGAAUUCCCGGUGUAGCGGUGAAAUGCGUAGAGAUCGGGAGGAACACCAGUGGCGAAGGCGGCUUUCUGGACUGUAACUGACACUGAGGCACGAAAGCGUGGGUAGC
rnacentral:rRNA from 1 species